CCAAUAGCGUAUAUUAAAGUUGCUGCAGUUAAAAAGCUCGUAGUUGAAUUUCGGGACUGAUAUGUCGGUCGUGCCUCGGUACGUACUGGUAUUUUUGGUUUCUCCCUUCUGACGAACCUUGAUGUCAUUAAUUUGGUGUCUUGGGAAAUCAGGACUGUUACUUUGAAAAAAUUAGAGUGUUUAAAGCAGGCUCACGCUUG
rnacentral:rRNA from 1 species